AACGAACGCUGGCGGCAUGCCUAACACAUGCAAGUCGAACGAGACCUUCGGGUCUAGUGGCGCACGGGUGCGUAACGCGUGGGAACCUGCCCUUAGGUUCGGAAUAACUCCCCGAAAGGGGUGCUAAUACCGGAUAAUGUCUUCGGACCGAAGAUUUAUCGCCUUUGGAUGGGCCCGCGUUGGAUUAGCUAGUUGGUAGGGUAAAAGCCUACCAAGGCGACGAUCCAUAGCUGGUCUGAGAGGAUGAUCAGCCACACUGGGACUGAGACACGGCCCAGACUCUUACGGGAGGCAGAAGGGGGGAAUAUGGGAAAAUGGGCGAAAGCUUGAUCCAGCAAUGCCGCGGGAGUGAUGAAGGCUUUAGGGUUGUAAAGCUUUUUUACCCGGGAUGAUAAUGACAGUACCGGGAGAAUAAGCCCCGGCUAACUCCGUG
rnacentral:rRNA from 1 species